rnacentral:rRNA from 1 species
AGAUUGAACGCUGGCGGCAUGCCUUACACAUGCAAGUCGAACGGCAGCACGGGGGCAACCCUGGUGGCGAGUGGCGAACGGAUGAGUAAUACAUCGGAACGUAUCCUGUAGCGGGGGGAUAACCUCUCGAAAGAGAGGCUAAUACCGCAUACGACCUACGGGUGAAAGAGGGGGAUCGCAAGACCUCUCACUAUUGGAGCGGCCGAUGUCGGAUUAGCUAGUUGGUAGGGGUAAAAGCCUACCAAGGCUACGAUUCGUAGCUGGUCUGAGAGGACGACCAGCCACACUGGAACUGAGACACGGUCCAGACUCCUACGGGAGGCAGCAGUGGGGAAUUUGGACAAUGGGCGCAAGCCUGAUCCAGCCAUGCCGCGUGAGUGAAGAAGGCCUUCGGGUUGUAAGCUCUUUCGGCCGGACGAAAGGUUCGUGACUAACACCGCGAACUCAUGACGUACCGGAAGAAGAAGCGACCGCUAACUACGUCGCCAGCACGCCGCG